rnacentral:lncRNA from 1 species
UUGAACUCAACCUGAAACAUCAUCAGCUGUUCUUGGAUCUUGAAGGCUUUGGGAUCAGAACUUAUCUUGGCUCUCUUGAGUCUCCAGCUUGCUCUUUUUUUUUUGCAUUAUCAAUUAUUCAUUCUAAUCAUUGGUACAUUUUAGGUAUACAAUAUAAUGACAUUUAUCAUUGGAAAUUUGCACCUUUACAUAAUCUCUCUUGGUUCUUAUUUUUCACCCUUGCCCAGCCCUCCCUUCAACCCCUCCAUUCCUCCCUAUUUACAAAGAUUUUGUUCUUAUUUUUCCAUUUUCUCAUAUUAAUCCCAUUCCCUUCUAUCCUUUCCCUUGCCCCUCCCACUGCCCCUACCCCUUUGGACCUUUUCUUCCUAUUUUAUAUUAUUGAUUAUUCAUUCUAAUCAUUGGUACAUUUUAGGUAUACAAUAUAAUGACAUUCAUCAUUGGAAAUUUGCACCUUUACAUAGUCUCUCUUGGUUGUUUUUCACCCUUGCCCAGCCCUCCCUUCAACCCCUCCAGUCCUCCCUAUUUACUAAGAUUUUGUUCCUAUUUUUCCAUUUUCUCGUAUUAAUCCCAUUCCCUUCUAUCCUUUCCCCUAGCCCUCCCACUUCCUUCCCCUUUGCCCCUUUUCUUCCUAUUUCACAUUAUCUAUUAUACCUUUUAGUCCUUAUUUACACUUUCAGUUUCUCACACUAGAGAAACUAUUCAGUAUUUACACAUGUGUGUCCUGUUUAUUUCACAUAAGAGUAUGGCCUCAAUGUGCAUCUAUUUAGCAAUAAAUGUCUCUAAUUUCUCAUUUUUGAUAGCUGAGUAGUACUCCAUUUUAUUUUUUAAAAACACACAUUUUCUUGAUCCAGUCUCCAGCUGAUGGGCAUUUGGGUUGUUUCCAAGUUUCAGCUAUUACAAACUGUACCAGCUUGCUGACUGUUUACUGAUUCUGUUUCUCUGGACAACCAUGACUACACAUAUAUACAUGUUGGAUUAUUUAAGCC